GAUGCUGCUGCUGAUCCG
rnacentral:miRNA from 1 species